GUUUUUGCUACAUAGCAUUUUGCAGUUAGUUUUAUUUAAACAACAUUUUCUUUUAGUCUUACUAGAGAUUUUGCGUUUAUGGUAAUUACAUUCGAUGUUGUACUGAGGAAGUUUUGCUUCGCAUGCUACUGCUUUAUAUACUUUGAUAUCAGAUGGGAAUGCGCAAGCAAUUGUUGUUAUAUAUUGACUUUUCUGUGCAAAACGUCUCUUUACGACUACUUUACUCAUAAAUUAACAAGAAGUAAUCAAUCUUAUCGCUGAAAUUCAUGAUCACCAAAACGUCUUAAGUUUAGAAAAGCUUAAGCAAUAUUUUUAUACAAAUCAAUAGAUUCACAUAAAAUGAAACAGAGCAAUAAUAAAGCGACUCAAUUCUCAUUUCGU